rnacentral:lncRNA from 1 species
GAUUUAUUAACACUUCCAAUAAGGCAGACAGUGGAGAAAAGAAAAAUGAACAAGAUCCAGCACUGGCCCCUACAGAGCUCAAGGUCUGGAGGAGAGCCUGUCAUACCAACAGGCUGUGGUAACCCAGGAUGGUCAGACCAAGGUGGAGGGGAACACAGAAGUAGACCUGGAGAAGAGGCAAUAACUCAGGUAAGGACACUGAAACCUGGAAGGAAUACUUAACUUGCUUGAGACUAGAAAGUAGAAGUGGCAUUUGAAUGGAGAACACUCAGCUCUCAGAGUCUAGAUUCGUUCCACCUCAUCAGGCUGCUUCUAUUAGUGAUACCUUCCUUUAGAUUACACCUUGUUCUCUCUGGAGAAUCAUGAAGAGGAUUUGAUUAAUGAAUCCCUAAAAGUUCUCUGGUUGGGGAAUGAGGGUUCCAAAUCAAGGAAAAGGCUGGAUCAACAGUUCUUCCAAGGGCUGGCCCAGUCAGGCCUUGUCAGAGCCCAGGACUUGGUGGCUGGGUUACUCUGCAGAAUGUUGAAAAUGUGCAAGUCCAUGUCAGAUACCUUUCCAAGGUGUCUGAGUGCUGGAAGAGGUGGAAAGUACUCUGGUCCUCAAGCAGCUGUUGUCCUGGCACGGAG